rnacentral:lncRNA from 1 species
GUAUAAGAUGAAUAUCAUAAUUUCAGGUCAUUGCCCGCAUGCCACGAAGAUUGGAACCUGUGUCACGCACCAUUUUUCUACGUCCAUCUUACACAUAUUAUCUUCAGAUUUCGUCGCAGUGCUUUCUCAACAAACGAGAGAGACACGAAGAGUCAAGCAAAGGUAAAAAAAGAAAAAAAGAAAAACGAAAAUCUUGCGGUCCCCAUCUGCGGUGAGGAAGGAUACAGUCGCAGACAUAUUCUACGAUUCCUUUGAUGCAUCAGCAAUGUACCAACGUGCGUAAAACUACAGAUAAGUAUAAUACACCUAUGGAUUUGAUGAUUCAUAUAAAUCUAAUACUAAUAAUACUUAAGGAAGUUGAUCCUUGGUAAUAUAAGCGUCACCGUAGACGCAAAAUGUUACAUGCUCGUUCGCAAGUCGGAGCUACGACUGGGAUGAUAAUGGAAACGACAGAUGAGACAGAAAGAAAGAAAGGAAGAGAGGGAGAGAGAGAGGGAGAGAGAGAGAUAACGUAAAAAGUUGCGGUCUUUCGCGAAGAGUCAUAGACGGUCGAGAAUCGUGCUCUUCUCCUAAGUCGUUGCAUGGUCGGGGCCACGGUGGCGGCUAUGGCUAUGGUUAUGGUGGUGUGGUGAUCAUGGUGACGGUGGUGGUGGUGGUGGCGGUGGUGAUGGUGGUGUGGCGGUUGCGGUGGCGGUGGCGGUGGCGGCGUCGUCCGUAAGGUCAAGGCCCUCUGCAAGCGCCCUACCCGACUCUUAUGCACCUUCGGGGUCACGUGACGCGGCUCAAGGUCUUCUCUCCCCACUCCUGCGAGCAUUGCACGGCCACGCCAUGCCACCCGCCGUUACCACCGACGGUGCAACAAGCGUGUCCCCCUUCCUCUUGUUGCCCUCUUGCUUCCCUACUCUUCUCUACCCUACCCUACCCUACCCUACCGUACCCUGCCCUACCCUUCCCUUUCCCCUCUCUGUCUUCCUGGCCCAACUCUUGUCCCUCGUCGUCUUGAAUGCGCCUGCUGCCGCCUCAUCUUCUCGGUCGUUCCAAGUCGCGUAACUUCUCUCCUCCCGAGGAACUUCUAUGAGCGUGGAUUCGGCUUUGAGCCGUUAGUACAAAUUUCAGGUGAAUCUAUUUCUCACAUUACACGGGGGAGGGACUAAAAGGAGGAGUAUUAUCGUAACGAGUUAAUGCGUGCACUAAGGUGGUUUUCUAUAAUAACCGCAGCCUCGAAAAAAAUAUGAUCUCUCUGGAGAGAUAUCAAGAGAACAAAAGCUAUCCAAGUUUUCCGUGGGCAAUUUCAAAAAGAAA